rnacentral:rRNA from 1 species
UGGGGAAUAUUGCACAAUGGGCGCAAGCCUGAUGCAGCAACGCCGCGUGAACGAUGAAGGUCUUCGGAUCGUAAAGUUCUGUUGCAGGGGAAGAUAAUGACGGUACCCUGUGAGGAAGCCCCGGCUAACUACGUGCCAGCAGCCGCGGUAAUACGUAGGGGGCUAGCGUUAUCCGGAUUUACUGGGCGUAAAGGGUGCGUAGGUGGUCUUUCAAGUCGGUGGUUAAAGGCUACGGCUCAACCGUAGUUAGCCUCCGAAACUGGAAGACUUGGGUUCAGGAGAGGAAAGUGGAAUUCCCAGUGUAGCGGUGAAAUGCGUAGAUAUGGUGAGGAACACCAGUAGCGAAGGCGUCUUUCUGGACUGCAACUGACACUGAGGCACGAAAGAGUGAGUAGCAAACAGG